GCCCUGGUGGUGGAAUGGUAGACACGGUAGACUCAAAAUCUGCUGCUCGCAAGGGCGUGAGGGUUCAAGUCCCUCCCGGGGUACCA
rnacentral:tRNA from 1 species